rnacentral:sRNA from 1 species
UGCACUCGACUUCGUCGCCACCGUAGAUAC